GCCUGGACCAGCCAAAUACCACUGAACCUGCAGCUGUGAGCUUUCCCCAGGGAAAGCAGCCCACCAGAAUCCCGGAGAAGCUGCUCCCAGAUGUACUGCAUAAUGCCAGUGAAUCUCACCUGUGCAAGAGGUGGACCGUAGUGCGUGCUGUGGACUCUCCAG
rnacentral:lncRNA from 1 species